CUUUACGCGUUAGGGAUAGUAGUGAAAAGCCCACAGACUAGUGUAGUGACAACGAAACUAGUCGAGGACUUGUAGCGAAUAGCCCGGCUCCUU
rnacentral:misc_RNA from 1 species